rnacentral:rRNA from 1 species
CCNNNGUCAGNUUGAACGCUGGCGGCAGGCUUAACACAUGCAAGUCGAACGGUAACAGGUCAUAGCUUGCUAUUUUGCUGACCAGUGGCGGACGGGUGAGUCAUGCUUGGGAAUUUGCCCACAGGUGGGGGACAACAGUUGGAAACGACUGCCAAUACCGCAUACUGUCUACAGACAAAAGGUGGCCUCUAGUUAUAUGCUAUCGCCUUUCGAAGAGCCCAAGUGGGAUUAGCUAGUUGGCCAGGUAAUGGCUUACCAAGGCUUCGAUCCCUAGCUGGUCUGAGAGGAUGACCAGUCACACNGGAACUGAGACACGGUCCAGACUCCUACGGGAGGGAAAUGUUGGGUUAAGUCCCGUAACGAGCGCAACCCCUGUCCUUAGUUGCUAGCACGUAAUGGUGGGAACUCUAGGGAGACUGCCGGUGAUAAACCGGAGGAAGGUGGGGACGACGUCAAGUCAUCAUGGCCCUUACGGGAUGGGCUACAUACGUGCUACAAUGGCAAAUACAAAGGGUUGAUAACCUGCGAGGGUAUGCGAAUCUCAUAAAGUUUGUCGUAGUCCGGAUCGGAGUCUGCAACUCGACUCCGUGAAGUUGGAAUCGCUAGUAAUCGUGGAUCAGAAUGCCACGGUGAAUACGUUCCCGGGCCUUGUACACACCGCCCGUCACACCAUGGGAGUGGGUUGCACCAGAAGUG